AAAGGUUAGGGUAAUAUUGUUAUGGUAAGCCAAUCUGAGGCAGAGUAGGGCGGGACAUGCCUUCGCCAUCCUGGGGGAAAAAAAAUACUGCCUGGCCGACGUGGCUCUGCAAGGUGCUGCCGUAGGAGGCUAACAGCUAUGAGGGGAUUUUCCUUCGCUGGUCGUCUCAAAUCUCUAUGGCCUCAUUUGAGAUGUCUGCACUGUUGCUAUGCAGUGGAAAAACAACUGAUUCUGUGAGUCCAACAUUACAUUACAAGGCAGUGUUGUGCACCUACCACCUCCCAUAGUUGUCGUAUUCAAUUAUACGAUCAUCCCCCCCACCCUCCACCCCACUCCGGCAUGGUUUACUCCUCAGGAUGGAAAGGCUCCUGCUGGCACAACUGUCUAAUCUGGACUAAUCUCUGACUUUUUAAAUUACAUUCAUGGUGUUGACUUGACUAUUGAACUCAUGGAAGUGGCAUAUUUCUAAAAAUCUCUUGAAAUACUCCUGUUGUAUGUUGUGGCAUUUUAUUGAAUGUUGAAUAUUUUUGGUAAAUGUGACAUUCUCAAUGUCACAAAAUAUUGUUUUUCUGUGCCCAUCUUAAGAAAAAAAAUCACUUUUUUGGGGAUUUGGGGUGUUAUUUUGUGUCUCUGGUAAAUGUAAAUGUAA